UCUCCUCUAUUUAUACACCUUUUAUCAUCUCCUUAUGUUAUUUGAUUGAUUAAUCGAUGAAUCUGUUUGUGUUAUUUAGUUGUUUCGUGAUUACUUAUUUUGUUGAAAUUAAAUCUGAAACCAGUCUGUAUUUUAAAGAUGAUUGCAUGUUACACAUCAUUAUUGGUUUACUGAUUCAUUCAUAUAAGAAGCUAAUUUUGAAUUGUAUGAAGCCCUAGCUAUCUCAUCAUUUACAUGUAGCCUACCUAUUUGUGGAAAUGUCUAUGUGAACAAAGACACUGCUAAUGAGUGUUUUUUUAAUUGUAUAAGAUCAUGAUGUGUAUACAUAUUAUUGUUUGGACAUAUGUACAUUGGGUUUUUAUGUUGUGUUGUAGGUGUGUACUCUGUGAUGUUACCGGUGCCUGUGGUUGGGGGAUAUGAGGGUGUUGGAGAAGUCCACUCUAUAGGCACAUCAGUGGAAUGUGCUGCCAGUCACUAUUAACCCGUUGACUACCUUAAAGAUGGCGGAGAACUUCGUGGAACUCGAAUCAGGUGGCUGAGCUUGAGAAACAAUUGAAAAUGGAGAUCAAAUCAAGAAACAGAGCCGAAAAGAUCUGGUAUACAUGGACGAUGGGUGGCGUUUAUUUGUAGGAUGCCACUGGAAAUUAGACAAAGAUACGAGUGGUUCCACUACAAAAAAAAAGCUUUUUUAUUAUUUUAUUGUGUAUUAUUACAUCUUUACUCCGAGUUGAAUUUCUGUUUGCGGCACAUUUUAAAUAAUGUUUUUUUAUUAGAUUGCUUUUUUAUUGCAAUUUGAGCUUUAUUUUUGUGAAAAUUCGGUCUAUGUUUUGAAGUUUGUGAAUCUGGAAUUCGACUACAUUGUUGUAAACUUAUUGGAUCUUGAAUAGGCAUGUUGAUUUUUUGUAAUUAAUUAAUGGCCGCUCUUCCAA